rnacentral:piRNA from 1 species
AAAAAAAAAAAGUGUGCUUCAACGUGAUGU